rnacentral:rRNA from 1 species
AGAGUUUGAUUAGUGGCUCGAGGAUGAACGCUAGCUACAGGCUUAACACAUGCAAGUCGAGGGGCAGCAUGGUCUUAGCUUGCUAAGACUGAUGGCGACCGGCGCACGGGUGAGUAACGCGUAUCCAACCUUCCCCCUGGUAGGGCAUAGCCCGGCGAAAGUCGGAUUAAUACCCUAUGUUAUCCGAAGAGGACAUCUGAUUCGGAUCAAAGAUUUAUCGCCAUGGGAUGGGGAUGCGUCCGAUUAGGUUGACGGCGGGGUGACGGCCCACCGUGCCCGCGAUCGGUAGGGGUUCUGAGAGGAAGGUCCCCCACAUUGGAACUGAGACACGGUCCAAACUCCUACGGGAGGCAGCAGUGAGGAAUAUUGGUCAAUGGGCGUAAGCCUGAACCAGCCAAGUAGCCGUGCGGGACGACGGCCCUAUGGGUUGUAAACCGCUUUUGCAGGGGAAUAAAGUGAGGCACGCGUGCCUUUUUGCAUGUACCCUGAGAAUAAGGACCGGCUAAUUCCGUGCCAGCAGCGGC